rnacentral:rRNA from 1 species
UACGUAGGGGGCGAGCGUUGUCCGAAGUUACUGGGCGUAAAGCGCGCGUAGGCGGUCUCUUAAGUCUGGUGUGAAAGGUUCAGGGCUCAACCCGAAGAGUGCACUGGAUACUGGGAGACUUGAGUUUGGGAGAGGAGAGUGGAAUUCCUGGUGUAGCGGUGAAAUGCGUAGAUAUCAGGAGGAACACCGAUGGCGAAGGCAGCUCUCUGGCCCAAAACUGACGCUGAGGUGCGAAAGCGUGGGGAGCGAACGGG